rnacentral:rRNA from 1 species
UACGUAGGGCGCAAGCGUUGUCCGGAAUUAUUGGGCGUAAAGCGCGCGUAGGCGGCUUUGUAAGUUAGAGGUGAAAGCCCGGAGCUCAACUUGGAAUUGCCUUUAAAACUGCAUCGCUAGAAUUGUGGAGAGGUAAGUGGAAUUCCGAGUGUAGAGGUGAAAUUCGUAGAUAUUCGGAAGAACACCAGUGGCGAAGGCGACUUACUGGACACAUAUUGACGCUGAGGUGCGAAAGCGUGGGGAGCAAACAGG